rnacentral:rRNA from 1 species
GACCUUGAAAUACCACCCUUUAAUGUUUGAUGUUCUAACGUUGACCCGUAAUCCGGGUUGCGGACAGUGUCUGGUGGGUAGUUUGACUGGGGCGGUCUCCUCCUAAAGAGUAACGGAGGAGCACGAAGGUUGGCUAAUCCUGGUCGGACAUCAGGAGGUUAGUGCAAUGGCAUAAGCCAGCUUGACUGCGAGCGUGACGGCGCGAGCAGGUGCGAAAGCAGGUCAUAGUGAUCCGGUGGUUCUGAAUGGAAGGGCCAUCGCUCAACGGAUAAAAGGUACUCCGGGGAUAACAGGCUGAUACCGCCCAAGAGUUCAUAUCGACGGCGGUGUUUGGCACCUCGAUGUCGGCUCAUCACAUCCUGGGGCUGAAGUAGGUCCCAAGGGUAUGGCUGUUCGCCAUUUAAAGUGGUACGCGAGCUGGGUUUAGAACGUCGUGAGACAGUUCGGUCCCUAUCUGCCGUGGGCGCUGGAGAACUGAGGGGGGCUGCUCCUAGUACGAGAGGACCGGAGUGGACGCAUCACUGGUGUUCGGGUUGUCAUGCCAAUGGCACUGCCCGGUAGCUAAAUGCGGAAGAGAUAAGUGCUGAAAGCAUCUAAGCACGAAACUUGCCCCGAGAUGAGUUCUCCCUGACUCCUUGAGAGUCCUGAAGGAACGUUGAAGACGACGACGUUGAUAGGCCGGGUGUGUAAGCGCAGCGAUGCGUUGAGCUAACCGGUACUAAUGAACCGUGAGGCUUAACCUU